GUGGUGCAGAAGAAAUCAGAGUAUCAAGAGUCUCCUCCGGUCUCAAGAUCCUUAAGGUUUUGUCUGGCCAUGACAAGUUUCAUGAGAUCUAUGUUCUCGACAGAGAGGACCAACUGGUUAUUCAAUAGCGAAAGAUUGCAUAGGGUUCAUAUAGAGUGGUUAAUUUUUGAGGUUAUAAUGAUAGCUGGAGCAUCUAGAUAUCUCGAGCCUUUUCAAUUUCAACAUUAUAUUAA